GGAGUCCCUCUGAUGACACCACGAAUCUGGGAAUGAAGAACUUCUUAGAGCUGAUUGAAAAUGGCAUUGCGGAGCUGAAACUUAACUGGAGGAAAUAUAUCUCCGGAAGAAGAAAAUAUAAUGCACUGUAAGGAUCUGACUUCUGGUGAAAAAUUCAAGCCUAGAGAAAACUUGUCCGCCUUGUUAGGAAGAAUGGGUUGGACAAUUUUCUUCAAUUCCAAAGGAUAUCUGAAUGCCAUGCUGAGCUUAAUCUCUGCAGCAUGCUCUGUGCUUCUCAUCUCUUCCUGAUGCACUGCAUGGUUAUCCUGAAGGGGAGGAUAAAAAAACUGGCCACCAAGAUGGUAAUCACUAGUGGAAAUGAAGAAGAUAAAGGCAGUCAAGAAAAGGAAAGCAAAGAAGAAACCAUCUUGGCAAUGCUUGGAAUUAUUGGGACAAUUCUGAACCUCAUUGUGAUCAUUUUUGUGUAUAUUUACACAACGUUGUAAACUAGAAGGCAUGCAAAUAGACCAGAUAAAACGGCCAUUAAGAGUGAUGACAAACAUUGCCGACUAUUGACAAGUUGUUUAAUCAGAAUUGACUCUGUAUUAUAUUAACACAUCAUGAAAACACUGCCUGUAGGCAGCGAAGGCUGAAGCACAAUUAAUUUAACAAGACUUUUUCACACAGUAACAAGCUUAACUCUUCUCUCCUGCCCUCUUCCUUUCAGUUUGGUCUUUGGUUUGGGGGAAAAUGACUGCAAUUAUGUAAGUUAUAGCUUUGAAGAAAGCUACCAGGGAUAAGUUGUUUUAACACAAUUUGAAAAUAAAAAGAAAAA